UAACUGUAUUUAGAGUAAAGUG
rnacentral:piRNA from 1 species